CCUUUUUCUUUCUCUUCCACCGAACUCGUGCCCGAUGUCGUUUCCUCCUCCUUCGCGUCGUCUCCUCCGAUCUGCCCUAACGCAAGCGGCGGUUUCUUCCUACCUCCGGUACAAAAGUCGUGGCCGAGGGUUUUUGCAACCCUAUCUCUUCCCCUUCCCCGCGAGUACAAAGACUCACCACCUCUUCUCCUCUCCCGAGCACCAGCAGCCGGCUAAACCCCUCUGCCCUCUGCGAAGACGCCGCCGUCGCACGGAGCAGCACGACGCCCUACAACCGACGCCUCACUGAAGCUUCCUCUCCCUUGCCGACAUCUCAUCGUCGCGGAGGUCCUUACCGCACUGAUCGCCACGGAGGGCUCCGUCGACAGCAGCCUUUCACUUUUCCCUAGAUCCGAUCACUGUAGUCGGCCGGUGCUUUGUUGCUAGCGUACCUAUGCCCUAGAUUGCCGGAAGCUUCGGUAGGUCUUUGGUUAGGAGCAACAACCCAAGCCUUGGUGUUCCCUUCUGUGCCCUAAUUUCACUGUUGGGUCUUCCUUCAGCCACCUCUUCUAUCCAUUUCUGUGAAGACUCUGACAGAGGAGAAACGAUUGUCGCCGUUUUAGAUUCUCCUAAUUCCGGCCACCGUUUUACGAUAGCACGCAUCUCCUCCUUUCUGAUCAGUUGAGCAUCAACAGGAGUUUUGGUUUUGGUGGAUCAACAAGCACGGCUGUGAAUUUAGGGCUGUAAUGGAAGCCAGUUGUGGGACACAGCUUUUGCUGUUCGUGCAAUUAUGUCAACUGAUCUUUCUCAGAAAUUUGGUCUAACACUCAAGAAGGCUCACUAAUUCUUUAAAAGUUCACAGAACAAGAAACUUACUAAGUGCACUGGCUAUAAUGGAGUUGACCUGAAAGAUUGCAUCUAACCUCAAGGGUAUGAGUAGCAAGUACUUCGACGAUUGUAAUGAGGAGGAUAAAGUAACCACGUCAAGUAUGAAGAAUUAGUAAGAAAGCUUUGGGAUUUAAGCAAGAAGAUGGUUAAAACCAAUGAACAAAGAACAUUCAAGGCAAAAACAUAAGUAGCAUCUACCAAGAUCUUUAAGUACAUGCAAUAAGAUGUAGUCGAGAGAAGUACUUGUGAGUGUAUAUCAGUUCAAAGCCAAUGAGCAAAGAACUCAAAGAAAGCAUUUGUGAUUAUGAGAAUUCUAAUAUUUGAAUGCAAUUGGGUCGGGUCGGGUCAGUCCUCAUAGGCGACCCGUUUAGCCAAUAUCCUU